AUUGAACGCUGGCGGCAUGCCUAACACAUGCAAGUCGAACGGAGGUAGGGGCAACUCUACUUCAGUGGCGGACGGGUGAGGAAUGCGUCGGAAUCUACCCUAUGGUGGGGGAUAACACAGGGAAACUUGUGCUAAUACCGCAUGAUGUCGAGAGACCAAAGCAGGGGACCGCAAGGCCUUGCGCGAUAGGAUGAGCCGACGCCCGAUUAGCUAGUUGGUAGGGUAAAGGCCUACCAAGGCGACGAUCGGUAGCUGGUCUGAGAGGAUGAUCAGCCUCACUGGGACUGAGACACGGCCCAGACUCCUACGGGAGGCAGCAGUGGGGAAUAUUGGACAAUGGGCGCAAGCCUGAUCCAGCAAUGCCGCGUGUGUGAAGAAGGCCUGCGGGUUGUAAAGCACUUUUGUUCGGGAAGAAAACGGAUCGGUUAAUACCCGGUUCGGAUGACGGUACCGAAAGAAUAAGCACCGGCUAACUUCGUGCCAGCAGCCGCGGUAUGUA
rnacentral:rRNA from 1 species